UAUCUGUAAUUUGAGUCGACAAAUAUAGCCUCGCUUCAAGCAAGUUCUUCUGCGAUGGCCUACAGCUGAGAGGAACGGAGUAGAGGAAACAGACCCACCAUCUUCACACACUACCCAAACCCUAAGUCUGCUUCCUUUCUUGCACAGAUCGUUCGUCUGUGAAUCGAAAGUAGUGUUUCUUUCUAUGAAAUCCAAUGUCUCUGGUACGAUCUCAGACGAUUCGGCAUCUGUGCCGUUCCAUCCGACUCCGAGAAAUCUCAUCUCUGUUUGGAAGCUUUGAAAGCUACUCGAUUCCAGGUGUGAUGGGUGGAAGCUCUCGAAGCUACUUGAGUCCAGGAAUCAGGUGCCGCACAAUUCUGACAUACUCAUGUAGUAAGGGCUAUGACCAUUUUCCUCCGAAGGUUGGACUUGCAAAGCCACUCCGUUCAUCAAAGGUUACUGAAUUAUCAAUAUUCUUGAAUGAUAUGAGAUCAAUGUCAACAGUAGUCAAGGCACCUCCUCAAGCACAAGCAGCGGGGGCUUUGAAAGUAUCCAUGGUGAGCCCUGGAAUCGUCUAUGAGCCAUAUGCACAACGUGAACCCAUUUCAUUCUUGCGAAGAUGGUUCACUCGAAGUGGUUGGAGAAGAACAAAGGAGGACAUCAUUAUGGAGCUCAAGAAUGCUUACGCAAUUGCCAAAUUAAGGAAAAAAUCUGGGUAUUCAAAACACAAGUUCUAUGAAGAGGCAGUGCAAUUAUACAAGGAGAUAAACAUUCUCAUGGCAAACGGGGAUAAGACAGCAUUAAGGAAAGCAGUUACAGAGAAUAUGUACUCUGCCCUCAAGAACGAAAUCAAACAAAGACAAUCUGUAUGGAGUUCUGUUUACUGGGAAUUGGUUGAGCCGAUUGUUAAAAUACGAACAUUGCGAGCUCGAAUGAUUGGGAUUGAUAAAAAUGACCUCAAUAAAGCAUUCAUACAGCUUACGAUAGAGUUCCUAGCUAAGCAGAAGUUUGAGGCAUAUGAUUCGAAAGGUAAAGUUGUCUCUGGAGAUAAAACAAAGGAGGUACUUGUACGUGACAUCUGGGUCUUCGAAAGAUCUCUUUUUCACCCCGGAGCAUACUGGCGGCUUUGUGGGCGAAUAUCGUUGUAGGGAAGUCUUUCAACCUUACAUCCUCUCAUAUUUGGGCUGAUUACAUUUCACUUCUGUUACCCAAACUGGGAUGGUCUGCCUUAUUAAGUGGGUGGGCAUGAUUUUUGCACCAGUUCAUCUUCACAGUGCAGCCUGCAUUAUGUGGGUCAGACAUCACCAUGCUCACUAGGUUGGCACACCAUGCCUGCCAUGGGAGGAGUGGUGGGUGGGACAAGCAAGGCUUAGUUAUUCAUUUCAACCAAUUCUUUCUUUUUUAAUUGCUUCCAAAUGUUGUACCUGAAAUUCAUUUUCAUAAUGAAUCAAGAGGAUAAAUGAUUCUUGGAUCUUCUCUUUUCAGGCUCCAAAUGCGAGAUCCUGAUUACCAUUUCAGUGGAUGCAAUUUUGUUUAAGCAGUGCUAUAGCACAGAAUUUAUGGAUGAGAAUAACCGGAAACAGGAAAAUGCAGUCCUAAAAUAGAAUCUAAGAAUACACGCACCAGACCCAAAGAACUGAAAUGUGGGGUUCUCUACAUUCAAGGAAUUUAGCGUUGAUGCUUAAAGAUGAGAUAUUCUCUGAGGUGUAGUUUUUCAUUUACAUCACCUGUUUUUGGACAGGGUAAUGUAGUUUUAAGUACAGGAAAAAUGAGGCUCUUUCAGCAUGUUUUCCUUUUUCUUUUCUUUUUUUUCUUUUUUUUUUUUUUUAAAUAAAUAUAUUUAUAUCUACACUUAACCAUAAUGGAUUUAGCUCCA